CUUAAUGUGUGUUUCAGUGGUGGGAUCAAGAGACAGGAAGAAUAGAGCAGCAAGAUAAUUCUAACUUAAUCAUUUGUUACUUUACAGAAAAGCCUGAUCUCAUAAUAUUCUUUCCUCGUCCCUACCUAGGCCUUUUCCAGACUGUGUGCUUCUCUAAAAUAGGAACCCAGAAGAGGACUGGUCAUUUCUUGCAGCUCUACAACCAUCACCAAGAGAUUGGUGAUGUUCACGGAUGUGGCCAUUGACUUCUCUCAGGAAGAGAGUGAAUGCCUGGACUCUCUACUCAAAGUGAUUUGUAUAGAGAUGUGAUGUUAGAAAACUAUAAACUGUGGUGUGAUUAAGAAGGAUAUCUGUUCCUCGUAUUUCAGGAUCCACCUUUGAAAUGGCUCCUUUCUCUGCCAUUGUUUCUAGGUUGCUUUUUAAGUAAUUAACUGAAUUUCUUAUUCUCAAAGGAAUGGUUUGAAGUUGACACAUUUCAUAGGGUAUCUUUAUCUUCUACAUCCUUCAGAAAGCCUUAACACUGUCUUAUAAUACCUGUCUCCCUACCAUCUUCCAUGAUGUCAAGGGGCUAGAUUUGAAUUCUGGGACAUUUGCAAUAUUGUCAGAAAAAAAAACAACAGGCUAUGUGUUGUUACCCUUUAGAUCUGCUAAAGGAGCUCUAAAUAAUUCACAUGUCCAAUCUAAUUUUAAAAAUAGAUGCUGAUAUGUGUGGCUUUUCUGAUCAGAAGAGCUCAUGUCAUUUGUAUGGUGAUAAGGUGGAUCAAUGCAUUUCACUAACAACUCAAGUGAACACGAUUUAUUACUUACAACAAAUACGUUGUCUUCUGUGUGCUUGGUGAUUGAAUAUUACAUGUUAAGAACUUUGCGUUUUAUACUGAGUGAAUAUGCUAGAAUCACCUUUUAUUUGAAAAUAACUUAGGAUGAAGUUUCAUAAGGGACAAAGCCUAUGUCAAUUAAAACCUUAAUAAGUGAUUUUC